AUUGAACGCUGGCGGAAUGCUUUACACAUGCAAGUCGAACGGCAGCGCGGGGGCAACCCUGGCGGCGAGUGGCGAACGGGUGAGUAAUACAUCGGAACGUGCCCAGUCGUGGGGGAUAACGUAGCGAAAGCUACGCUAAUACCGCAUACGAUCUGAGGAUGAAAGCGGGGGACCUUCGGGCCUCGCGCGAUUGGAGCGGCCGAUGGCAGAUUAGGUAGUUGGGGGGGUAAAGGCUCACCAAGCCUGCGAUCUGUAGCUGGUCUGAGAGUACGACCAGCCGCACUGUGACUGAGACACGGCCCAGACUCCUACGGGAGGCAGCAGUGGGGAAUUUUGGACAAUGGGCGCAAGCCUGAUCCAGCCAUUCCGCGUGCAGGAUGAAGGCCUUCGGGUUGUAAACUGCUUUUGUACGGAACGAAACGACCUUCUCUAAUACAGGGGGUUAAUGACGGUACCGUAAGAAUAAGCACCGGCUAACUACGUGCCAGCAGCCGCGGUAA
rnacentral:rRNA from 1 species